CCCCAAGGUGUCAAAGGUGAACGUGGCAGUCCUGGUGGACCCGGUGCUGCUGGCUUCCCUGGUGCUCGUGGUCUUCCUGGUCCUCCUGGUAGUAAUGUAAGUAAUUGUUAAAGUCUUUUCUCAUCAUACACUUCAGAAAGAGCAUUCAUGUAUGUAUAGGAUGAGAAACUUACACAUUGCUACUUAUUUCUCUAGUAAGUCUCAAAUAAAAUUAUUUGAAGUAAGU
rnacentral:sRNA from 1 species